rnacentral:rRNA from 1 species
CUACGGGGGGCUGCAACCAGGAAUAUUGCGCAAUGGACGAAAGUCUGACGCAGCGACACCGCGUGCGGGAUGAAGCUCCUCGGAGUGUAAACCGCUGUGGCGAGGGAGGAAAUUUUGACAGUACCUCGCUAGAAAGCACCAGCUAACUACGUGCCAGAAGCUUCGGUAAUACGUAGGGUGCAAGCGUUAUCCGGAUUUACUGGGCGUAAAGGGUUCGUAGGCGACUUGAUAAGUUUCUUGUUUAAGCCCGAGGCUUAACUUCGGACAGGCAAGAAAAACUAUCAGGAUUGAGUUAGUUCGGGGUAGCUGGAAUUCUCGGUGGAGGGGUGAAAUCCGUAGAGAUCGAGAGGAACGUCAUACGCGAAGGCAGGCUACUAGGACUUAACUGACGCUAAGGAACGAAAGCUUGGGUAGCAAAAGGGGUUAGAUACCCGUGUAGUC